rnacentral:lncRNA from 10 species
UCGGGUCUAGAAGUAGCAAGCCCCUGGCUAGGAGUCACUGAUGCCACUGGGGGCAGGGUAAGAUGUCCAAAGCCCGGGAGACCCAGGGACGCCGGCUGGGCUGCCUCCACCCCUUCUUUUCCUCCCGUGGCACCCACCUGUCCCCCCACCUGCCAAGGCCAGGAGGGAGGGAGAGAGCUGAAAAGGGCACUUUUCCUCCAGGGUGACUCCAAUUCCUUUCCACUCACCCUCAAGGCGAGUUCCUUCUCUCCCACCCAACCCGGGGCUCCCCCCAACUGCCACUCGCCUCACGUGUGAGUUGUUAAACCCGAAAGCAGAAAUCCCCUGCCCUCUCCCUUCCUGUCUCCCCCUUUCCGCUGCACCCCUACCUACCCAAUUUUUAUCUCGCUACAAUCAGGGGUUUUCUCAACCGGGGAAAAGGUGGUAGUGGCGGUGGGAGGGUCAGGAUCCCUCGAAGUGGAGGCCGGGGCCGGGCUGGGGGCGGAGUGCGGGGGCGGGGGGAAUCUCCCAGCGCAUCUCCUCUUUUUUGACUCUCCCCACGGCUCGCGGCUCUCCUGGCCUGGGCGGGUUUCCUUCCGAGUUUUAAACGGUGAUCGAUGAAUAAGCAAAACAAACAAACAAACAGAAAAAAAAAGAAAAAAGAAAAAGAAAAAAGAACUAAAGGAAGGA